AGUAAGCAGAGACUUCUGAUAAAAAAUAAACAUGCAACCUAUUUAAUGUCCACACAAAUUUAAACACUCUCAUUAAAUGUAAGGUACCUCCUGCUGGGUGCUUAGAGCACCAAGAGGCAAAGGAAAAGUGAAUUGAGGUGCUGAGACCAGCAAGAGGAGAGCUGAGGCAGCGCUGCUUUUCAUGUCUCUUCGGACAUCCAAACGAUAUAUGAGACGGGAAACCUCGAAACCUUGGGGCUGUGAAAUUUGCACCCUGAGCUGUGCUCAGGCCAAUAUGAACCCCAAACUGAAACCUGCAUGUGAGCGCCGGGUGAUGCACAGCUCAUGCACUGAAACGUGUUUCGGUUUUGGUGAAAGGGCACCCACAGACCCGGGCACUGCCUCACUUCUCCAACAUGAACUCAAUGGAACCCCCCCCCACCGCAGGAACACGUGAACCACUGCGAUGGAUGAGAGCAUGAGCCAUGGCUUGCUGGUUUAUUGGGGAUAGCCUCCUGCUGCUGCAGCUGGCACAUGGUCCGUACCCUCUGCUGUGUGUGCUGAGAGGGGAAAAUAGAGCGUCACCCCACCACCCAUUGGCUU
ensembl:lncRNA